rnacentral:rRNA from 1 species
CCUACGCGUGGCAGCAGUGAGGAAUAUUGGUCAAUGGUCGGGAGACUGAACCAGCCAAGCCGCGUGAGGGAUGAAGGUACAGAGUAUCGUAAACCUCUGUUGUCAGGGAACAAAGGCGGGGACGUGUCCCCGGAUGAGUGUACCUGAAGAAAAAGCAUCGGCUAACUCCGUGCAAGCAGCCGCGGUAAUACGGAGGAUGCGAGCGUUAUCCGGAUUUAUUGGGUUUAAAGGGUGCGCAGGCGGUCUGUUAAGUCAGCGGUCAAAGCCCGGGGCUCAACCCCGGCCCGCCGUUGAAACUGGCAGUCUCGAGUUGGAGAGAAGUAUGCGGAAUGCGCGGUGUAGCGGUGAAAUGCAUAGAUAUCGCGCAGAACUCCGAUUGCGAAGGCAGCAUGCCGGCUCCACACUGACGCUGAGGCACGAAAGCGUGGGUAUCGAACAGGAUUAGAUACCCUUGUAGUC